rnacentral:lncRNA from 1 species
GGGGAGAGGAGGGGAAAUGCUGCCAGAACAGCUCCAACAGCCCUCUUUAGAGACCGGGUUUACACGCUCAGCUGUCCCUUGUAAAAUAAGCCCUGUGUGAGAAUUUUCCCAACCUUUUCAAUCUCCUCUCCUCGCCCCCUCCCCUCCUGCUUUGCUCACGCUGCAAGAAUGCAGAAAGAAAUACUUUGGGACAACGACAUCCUUUAGUGCUGCAGGAGAGAGGGGGCACGAGGAUUAAACAAAACAGCCCCAACUGCAAAAGGGCAGCGAGGAAAUGUCAGAGUUGCCUUGAUUGUCCUUCCUGAGGGCUCCCAAGCACCUUGCUGGAAGGAGGCAGUCCUUCUGCCAGAUACAGGCUCCCCAGACAGCAGACCCAGCCAAAAACCUGUUUGCUCACCGCUGCGGCGAUGUCACCGCCAGGACCUAGCUGGCCCCAUCCCAGAGACGCUCCUGGUGUAUGGAGGGAGCAGCAAACACACUGUCAUUGGGCAGGCAGGACAACACCUGGACAAUCCCUGCACCCCGCAGAGGCUUCCCA